rnacentral:lncRNA from 1 species
GAGCACUGUGGGCAGUAGAGGUCCUGGGUUGCCCCAGCGGGUGAGAGAACGUGGCUGAGCUCUCCCAUCCAUGAGGAUUUGGGGUGGUGUCACCUUGAUUCCAUGUUUUCCACUCCGAAGCUCAGUUUGCUCAGAGGUGAGCAGCUUACAGAAAGGCUUCUGCUGCGGCUCGUGCCAGGAUGGGAGGCGUAGAGGUGCGCUGUGCUUCCAUAGCUCCCCUUGGGGUGCUUCCAUAGCUCCCCACAGCUGAGAGAUGCUGCAAACUGUCACGCUGACCCGUGGCAAUGUGAAUAUCCAUCCCAAGUGUGGUGCAGUGGGAGAGGAUGAGACAGUGAAUGGUUCGCGUGCUGGAAACUACAGAGGUGCUAAAACCUCUAACGCCAAGAAGGUAUGAAAAUAGCUGACGAACUGCUGCCCCUUAAUUGAUGUGGGGGAUUAUGUGGCUUCCGAGCUGAGGAGAAGGGACGCACAGCUACUGUAGAUCCUGAGAUUCACACACAGUUGUGCUUAAUUCGUGACAUAAGACCUGCAAUGGAUCUGCAAAGAACGGAGUGGUACAAAUGAUGGACUAAUAACAUCACGAUACGUACUGCACAGCAGCCAGAGAUGAGAGCACCCAAGGAGCAGUGCUACGGGAAAGAAGAAGAAAACCUUCCCAGUUCCUGAUUUUUUUAUUAUCCGUGAUGUUUUUGAGCAUCUUCCCCUGAAACCUGAAUGCUGCCCAAAUCAGAGGAGCUGCCUUUGCUGCGUGUGCAUCCUGCACUACGCCGUGCCCUACUUAACAGCACGCUCACCUUCAUCAAAGAGGUUGGCAAGCGAUGUCCUGAUUUGGCACAUGCAUUGAACGUUCAGCUUCCUGCUUUGAUAACACAAUUUUGUAGGCCUGGGUCACCACCAGGGACGCGUCACUCAGCUGGACGAGCUCGCCCAAGAAGGAAGGCUUGAAUCAAGGAGUUAAGUUGGAGCUGACAGUGCUUCUGGCCAGCAGCUUUGCUUGAAUCUCUGGGGAGAAAAGCAAUUAUAGAGAAAGCAGCAAUGGAAUUAAUCUGAAACAAAUGAGAAGACUGGGAUUUAAGGACUCUUCUGCUGGUAGGUGAGAGCAAGGAACUAAAACUGUGUUACUGGUGCUGAGGACACCUCCUGUGUUGGCAAACACUGAAGGUUGACCUUGCUAGGGUAGGGUUGGUCAGAGGUUUGGAUGUGUUUAUCGUUCAGGACUGGGUUGCUAAGGCUUCUCAAGUCUCUUGACAUGAGAAAUGAAAGGCUACUUAUGUGCAGGGAAUUUCUUGCUGCCCAGUGCAUACGAGGUCAACAGGACAUGUGUAAUGGUCAAGAGUACUUGUCAGUAACGUGAGUAAGCCACAGAGAAUGGAGGUUUUUAGUAAGUUUCUGUGACAGAGAGAUGUAUGCAGUCCCUUCUGUGGGGUGCUGACAUGGAGGAGCAACUUGAGCUGCAGCACUCGCUGCCCAAAUCGAUACCCCAUAACAGGUGAACGUCAGCUGAACCAGUAUGGAAAUGAGUCCUAUCCUAAAAGAAGGAGGGGUGACCUUGAGGAAUCUCCAUUAGGAAUUCCUCUGGACNGUGCUAAUGAACUAUUUGUACCAUUAGCAAAAUGGAAAAUAAGUUUUCACAUUGUGCAAAAAGUUACAUUAUUUAAAGCUUUUUAUCUAGCUCUUAAUUACAGAGGUGUGCCGUAGUAGUCCUCUGCCCUACCACAGAGCCAAUCUCUUUGAAGCUGAUCACACCUACUGUGUCAGCUGCCAGUGCUACAGAUGUGGUUUUCGGGCUUCAAGAUCUUCUAAGUUACUAAAGGUGCUAUUAGGAGGGAUCCUCUUUGCACAUACAGAAGGAUGCUUGGGGAAUCCUUCGUUUUUAAUGAGUCUUUAGAAAGCGGACAAGGUGGCAGUAGCACUAAGGAGGUUCCUUUUGGAGGAGAGCAUUUACCUGAGCUGACAACUGUUAGCGAUGGGCUUACCUUCAGAUGCACGUAUCAGUAAUUAGUCACCUCU